AUGUUUGGGCCGGGAAGAGAAUACAACUUCACAAGGCCCAAUGAAAAGGGGGAGUAUGUGAUCGUGGAGGGGAUCAGCGCCACUGGGUUCCGCACAGUCCUGGAUUAUUACAAAACUGGCAUCAUCAACUGUCCAGAUGGCAUCUCUAUCCCAGACCUCAGAGACACGUGCGACUAUCUCUGCAUUAACUUUGACUUCAACACUAUCCGAUGUCAGGAUCUGAGUGCUCUACUGCAUGAGUUCUCCAACGAUGGUGCCCACAAGCAGUUUGACCACUACCUGGAGGAACUGAUUCUGGUCAUCAUGGUGGGCUGUGCCAAGAAAGGCGAGCGAGAGUGUCACAUUGUCGUGCUGACAGACGAGGACUCCGUGGACUGGGAUGAAGACCACCCUCCACCCAUGGGAGAAGAGUAUUCCCAAAUUCUUUACAGCUCCAAGCUCUACAGAUUCUUCAAAUAUAUCGAGAAUAGAGAUGUUGCUAAAACUGUGUUAAAGGAACGAGGCCUGAAGAACAUCCGCAUUGGAACUGAAGGUUACCCUACUUGCAAAGAGAAGAUUAAGAGGAGACCUGGCGGGUGGUCUGAAGUCAUCUACAAUUAUGUGCAGCGCCCUUUUAUCCAGAUGUCAUGGGAAAAAGAGGAAAGAAAGAGUCGCCAUGUGGAUUUCCAGUGUGUUCGCAGCAAAUCCCUCACUAAUUUGGUGGCUGCUGGAGAGGAUGUCUUAGAAGACCAGGAGAUAAUAAUGCAUCACCCACCACAAGUAGAUGAACUUGACCGCUUAAAUGCUCCACUCUCUCAGAUGGCUCCGAAUGACUUUCAAGAUUAGGGACAAACGGCCUCUGCCCAGUUGUUGGAGCUCUUCUUUGUGUGGGUACCCCUAAUCAGGCCUCCCCGCCCUCCUGGGGUUUCUCACCAUUAGGAGAUGCCUCCUCCUGUCUCCUUCCCUUCUGAGUUGUGACUGUGCCCUUUUCUGGGUCUGCCUCUGGCUGGGUGAAGAAGCUCUCUGGUAAAGGUUACCAGCUUUACCAGCCCUGGCAAACGAGCUUUUGGGUCUGGUGCUCUUGGUUGAAUCUUUGCAUUCACCUCCUGGUGCAGGAGAGGAAGUGAACUGUUGCCUCACAUCUGGCACAGCAACCCACUCUUACACCAGGUGAGUGGUUUCACAAUCAGAAAAAAUGCUUAUUAGCAAAAGGACGUCAAAGGAGACAGUCUGUGCUGGGGUUGGGUGUGCCCACCUGAGGAGGUGCCAGGGCAGGUGAAGGGAAUUCCCUGGAGCUCCAGCUCAGCUCCGCUUUUUACUAACAUAGGAGCAAACCAACCCCCAAGAUGGGCAGCCUGAUGCUUCAUUUGGAAGUGAAACUUGCAAAUGAGGUGGCAGAAUGGCUCCAGAUUGGGCCAGCUGGACCCUCCUCUGGUGGGAAGCCACAUCGCCUGUCCAUUAAAUAGGCCAUUAGCUACUGGAACAUGGUAAGAAAGUAAUACUGUGGUCAUCCCCAAAAUGGCCUAGGCCUUGUUAUUUUGUUUAUCUGUUCACACUUACAUGUGUGGUGGAUGGCAGUCCAGAUCAUUCCCUAGCUCCUUCCUCUGACAUUUCCAUGGCUGUUUGCAGAGUCAAGAGCCUGACAGCAAUGUCUGGAAUUAUUUGACUUUCCGGUAGAAGUUGACCUUUGAGUUCAUCCUCUGCCCUGGGCGGUGUGUAAGCUGUUUCCUUCAAGCUCUUUAGAGAACACCUUGGGUUUCUUGAAGGCUGCUCCCAUAAGACCGUGUAUAGCAUAACUAGUUGAUGGCAAUAAAAUCAGG